rnacentral:rRNA from 1 species
UACGUAGGUGACAAGCGUUGUCCGGAUUUACUGGGCGUAAAGAGCGCGCAGGCGGUCGAUCAAGUCGAGUGUGAAAGCCCCCGGCUCAACUGGGGAGGGUCAUUCGAUACUGAUCGACUCGAAGGCAGGAGAGGGUAGUGGAAUUCCCGGUGUAGUGGUGAAAUGCGUAGAUAUCGGGAGGAACACCAGUGGCGAAGGCGACUACCUGGCCUGUUCUUGACGCUGGGGCGCGAAAGCUAGGGGAGCAAACGGG